UGUGCCUUUUCGCGCUUGUUGCUA
rnacentral:miRNA from 1 species